AUUGAACGCUGGCGGCAUGCCUUACACAUGCAAGUCGAACGGCAGCACGGGGGCAACCCUGGUGGCGAGUGGCGAACGGGUGAGUAAAACAUCGGAACGUGCCCAGUAGUGGGGGAUAGCCCGGCGAAAGCCGGAUUAAUACCGCAUACGACCUACGGGUGAAAGCGGGGAUCGCAAGACCUCGCGCUAUCGGAGCGGCCGAUGUCAGAUGAGCUAGUUGGUGGGGUAAAGGCCUACCAAGGCGACGGUCUGUAGCUGGUCUGAGAGGACGACCAGCCACACUGGGACUGGGACACGGCCCAGACUCCUACGGGAGGCAGCAGUGGGGAAUUUUGGACAAUGGGCGCAAGCCUGAUCCAGCCAUGCCGCGUGCGGGAAGAAGGCCUUCGGGUUGUAAACCGCUUUUGUCAGGGAAGAAAAGCGCCGGGCUAAUACCCCGGCGUGAUGACGGUACCUGAAGAAUAAGCACCGGCUAACUACGUGCCAGCCGCCGCAGUAACAC
rnacentral:rRNA from 1 species